GGUGCCCAGGAGGGGACGGGGAUGCCGCACCCGAUGCUCUGGAUCAUGAGGUUCUCCUCCUCGGGGCCCAUCUGGACGAUGAGGAGGGAGCGGAUCUGGCCCAGGCACUCGAGGAGGCUCAUGGUGUCGUCGACGGAGACGGCGCUGAUGGUGUAGGCCUUGGGCAGCGCCCGCACCAGCUCGCCCAGCCCGUCGUACUGCCGGUGCAGCAGGCUGAACAUGGCCCGCACCAGCUCGGGGCUCUCGAUGAAGGACUCCUGCGCCCAGUGCACCAUGGUCUGCGAGAUGAGCUCCUGCAGCGUGCCUGCGGAGGCGGCCUGCGCUCAGCCCCCGCGCGGCUGGGGGGCCGCCCCGCGUGUCCCGUCCCGUCCCCCCCCCCUCCCCGCGCACGCUCACUGGGCACGGGGGGCUCCUCGGGGGGAGCCUCCUCCUCCUCCGCCUUCUUGCGGUGGCCAACGACCUUCUGCACCAGCCCCAGGAGCCGGUGCCGCAGGGACGUGUCUUCCUCCUCCUCCUCCUCCUCGCCAGCCAGCUCGAUGCCUGCGGCACAUUGGGGAGGGGGGGGGUGACCGGGGGGUCCUUGUGCCCCGUCAAGGGAUGGUGGGGGUCCGCAUGACCCCAAAAUGGGGGUCCCCAUGCCCGCAGGAUGGAGGAGUCCCCUUGUCCCCCAGCAGGUCCCCAUGCCCCCAGGGUGGGGGUCCCCCCCCCAUCCCCACGCGGGGUCCCCCUUGCCCGGAUGGGGGUCCCCGGGGGUGUCCCCAAGGCUCACCGCAGUGCGCCAGCAGGUCGUUGUGGAAGUCGAGCAGCUCGUCGCGGAUGUCCUCGGGCACCGGGCACUCCUCCUCGUCCGCCCCCGCCUUGUACUGCAGCAGCAUGUUGAUCUGGGGACACCGGGGUCAGCGUCACAGCCGUGACCCCCUGCCUUGUCCCGUGUCCCCCACCGUGCCUGCACUGUCCCCCAGUGCCACGUACGCCAUACCCAUGUGCGUCCCCACUCCGUGCAUGUUCCCCUGUCCCCAAACGUGUCCCCAUCUCCAUGCGUGUCCCAUGUCCCCGUGCAUGCCCUAUGUCUCAGUGCCAUGUCCCCUGUCCCCAUCCCUGUGCAUGUCCCCAUGCCCCCAUCCCUGUGCAAGUCCCUGUCCCUCACCCAUGCCCCAGUGUCCCCAGCGUGUCCCCAUGUCCCUGUUCCUAUGUUCUUAUCCCUGUGUCUGUCCCCAUGUGUGUCCCCGUGCAUGUCCCUCUAUCCCUGUGCGUGUCCCUGUGUGUAUCCCUAUAUCCCUGUGCAUGUCCCCCUCCCCAUGUUGGGAUGCGCAUCCCUAUAUCCCCAUAUCUGUGUGCACAUUCCCAUGGUCCCGUGCAUGUCCCCCUGCCCCGCUGCCAUAUCGCCAUGCACGUUCCCCUGCCCCUGUCCCCAUAUCCCCAUGCAUGUCCCCAACCUCAUGUUGGGAUGCACAUUCCUGUGUCCCCAUGGCCCUGUGCGUGUCCCCCCGCCCCUGUCCCCAUGCAUACCCCCAUGUCCCUGUGCAUGUCCUGCUGUCCCUGCCCCGCGUCCCUGUGCGUUUCCCCCUGUCCCCAUGCCCAUAUCGCCAUGCGCAUCCCCGCGCGUGUCCUCGCGCCCCCGUCCCCGGGGGUGUCACCUGCUCCUGGGGGGGCGAGCGGAACUCGCGGGUGCGCCGGGCCGUCUCGGCGGCCGACAUGGUGAGCGCCUGCAUGAGCUGCCCGUAGCGGCGGCGCUGGUCGCGCUGCAGCCGCUCCACGUGCCGCUCCGAGAAGGCCACGAUGGCCUCGACCCGGUGCUGCAGCUCCUGGUCGCAGAAGUACUCCAGCAGGUUGCACAUCUGGGGCGAGAGCGGGCACGUGGGGACGUNNNNNNNNNNNNNNNNNNNNNNNNNNNNNNNNNNNNNNNNNNNNNNNNNNNNNNNNN
ensembl:lncRNA